AUUAAACUAAUUAAUAGUUCAAUUAAUAAAACAUAAGACAGCCCAAUUAAAUUAAUUGAAGGCAAUCCAAAGUCCUUAAAUAAAAAAAAAAAGGGCCCAAAACAUUUAUUUAAAGCAAUGGCCCAAGCUGAAAUUUAAAACAUAAAUCGGCCCAACCCAAACUGAAACAAAAAAUUAAACAAACUCGGCCCAAUACUCUGCCCAACACCCAUGCCCUAGCCCAACAGCCCAACACUCCCUCCCCCCUUUCCUUAUCAGUCACGCCCCUCCCUCAUCAGUCACGCACACACCAGUCUCUCUCUCCCUCGACUGAUCAACAUUCGCCCCCUUCUCUCUCAGCCAUAAGUCAGCCAAAUCCCGCCUCCGCCUCCCUCCGUUCUCACUCUCUG
rnacentral:lncRNA from 1 species